UACGAAGGGGGCUAGCGUUGCUCGGAAUCACUGGGCGUAAAGCGCACGUAGACGGCUUCUUAAGUCAGGGGUGAAAUCCUGGAGCUCAACUCCAGAACUGCCUUUGAUGACUGGGAGGCUCGAGUCCGGGAGAGGUGAGUGGAACUGCGAGUGUAGAGGUGAAAUUCGUAGAUAUUCGCAAGAACACCAGUGGCGAAGGCGGCUCACUGGCCCGGUACUGACGCUGAGGUGCGAAAGCGUGGGAGC
rnacentral:rRNA from 1 species